rnacentral:rRNA from 1 species
GGGGAAUAUUGGACAAUGGGGGAAACCCUGAUCCAGCCAUGCCGCGUGAGUGAUGAAGGCCUUCGGGUUGUAAAGCUCUUUUGCCAGGGAAGAUAUUGACGGUACCUGGAGAAUAAGCACCGGCUAACUUCGUGCCAGCAGCCGCGGUAAUACGAAGGGUGCUAGCGUUGUUCGGAAUCACUGGGCGUAAAGCGCGCGCAGGCGGCCAAUCAAGUCAGAGGUGAAAUGCCGGGGCUUAACCCCGGAAUUGCCUUUGAAACUGCUUGGCUAGAGUAUGGGAGGGGAUAGCGGAAUUCCAAAUGUAGAGGUGAAAUUCGUAGAUAUUUGGAGGAACACCGGUGGCGAAGGCGGCUAUCUGGACCAUUACUGACGCUGAGGCGCGAAAGCGUGGGGAUCAAAC